ensembl:snRNA
GUGUUGCAUGACAGGUUAGCAUUCCCCUUGACAAGGAUGAAAGGUCUUUGGGCCAGACAACAUACCUAAUUCAGAAGCUGACACCCAAAACUUGAAAGUCAGAUCA